rnacentral:tRNA from 1 species
GCUCAGUUAGCUAAGCAUCUGACUUUGGCUCAGAUCAUGAUCUCAUGGUUCAUGGGUUCAAGUCCCAUGUUGGGCU